UAAUUUAUAAAAGAUCGCUACCGAC
rnacentral:piRNA from 1 species